rnacentral:rRNA from 1 species
GUUGCCCAGACAACUAGGAUGUUGGCUUAGAAGCAGCCAUCAUUUAAAGAGUGCGUAAUAGCUCACUAGUCGAGUGACACUGCGCCGAAAAUGUACCGGGGCUAAACAUAUUACCGAAGCUGUGGAUUGUCCCUUGGACAAUGGUAGGAGAGCGUUCUAAGGGCGUUGAAGCAUGAUCGUAAGGACAUGUGGAGCGCUUAGAAGUGAGAAUGCCGGUGUGAGUAGCGAAAGACGGGUGAGAAUCCCGUCCACCGAUUGACUAAGG